rnacentral:lncRNA from 10 species
CCCGCCUCCAGUCCCAGCCGUCCCGGCCAGGCCCCUACCUCCGCGCCCGGCCAGCCCGAGGCGGGGCAGGGGGAGGCGGCAGGGCUAGGGGACCCCUUAACCACCGGGACCUCUCUGUCUCGCCCCUACUCUGGGCAGCCGCCUUGGUGCCAGCGCCUUUGCCUUCUAUCCCAGGAACAUUUAUUGGAUACCUACUGUAUGCGCAGCAUCGAGGCAGGUCUUGAGGUGGGCGACGGGUUGGACAAAGGGUCUCCAGGCCAAGGGACCCCGACAAAGGGGCCAAAGGGGGACCGGCCACUUCACAGACCUGCAAACAGGCCUGGAGAGGGAAAAGACCCACGAAGCCUCCUCAGCUCCAUUUGGGCCCAGGGAUGUGAGAUUCGGAGUCCAUGCUAUCUUCACCACCCAGCUCUUCCUCUGUCUCCAAUAUAGGAAGGUAGCUGAGUCCAGGCACAGCCCCAGUCUGCCCUCCUCCCCAGCCCAGCCAGGCCCCCUUGCACAUACCUGGUUCCCAGGGGUCAGGCACAGCCAGCCCAGGCAAUUCCCCAUGUGAGCCGUAGAAGCAGGCUUGGCGCAGUCCUCCUCUCCCUCUCGUCUCUCCGGGGCCCUGGGCUGGGCUCCCCUGCCCCCACCCAAGCACAGGGCUCGCCUCUGGGCAGCCUCCUGGGCCAUGGCCCCCUGGGUGCCCAUAUCCCGGCAGCUGCCCCUAAAAGCCACUUAGGCUGAGGCGCCGCGACUGCUCGCCACCCCAACCCCUG